AUGCAGUAUUAUGCGAUAUUACGUUGGUAUGGCCAUCGACAGAAAAAAUAUGUAUUUUUUAUGUAACGACAGAGAGUAUUAUGAAGGUAUUAUGCAGUAUUAUGCGAUAUUACGUUGGUAUGACCAUCGACAGAAAAAAUAUGUAUUUGUUAUAUAGAGAGGAUGUCGGAUAAUGCGGUUUCAUUUGUCGGGUCCAUUUGGUUGGAGAAGUAUGACUGAACGUCUGUCGGACUUUUAAUAUCGAUAAAGUAUGAAGGGUACUAGUUAUGUUGUACGUCGUGUGUCGGGACCACUUAGCCCGGUGCUAAAUGAAGUCGUUCCCCAUAAUCGGACCAUGCGUACAUAAUUCGGUUGUCCCGGUUGUAAACAGGCCGUUUUCGCAAUCUGGGCAGAACAUGCCCCAGCCAGCAGGCAAGCGGAAGAUAGAGUUCCUUGACAGAAGAUGGGUUGGGUCAUUAUUAUGAUGAUAUAGAAGUGUGGUCAACCUUUUGUACGGAAGCCUAUUUUUGACUAGUACAUGAGCAGGUUUCUUUUUCUUAUUUCUGGGCACAAUUUUUUUAAUGGGGUACUUUAUGUGUUAGCUAGGGAUAGGUGCUAGCUAUAUAGGGUAACUACCAAACUAGCUGCUUAGCUGGGCUAGCUAGGCCAGGCUAAUAGAUGUGUAUAUUUUACAUAACUAGCCCAACAAAUAUCGAGGGAUAUAUCCUGUCUAUUAUUGCCAUGGCUUAACCCACAGCUAUGAUAACAUUCACUCACCAAAAUUAAAUCGCCUUCCAGAGAGGAAUCACUAUUCUGUCCAGAUUGUGAAAGUGGCCUAACAGGACAGCCAGAUUAUGUACACAUGGCCUAGUUAUGUUUUUUUUUUGCCCUGAUUAUGUCAUGGUCAUCAGAUUUUGAACGCUAACAUGAUGGCAAGCUGUGAUGGGCAUUUUCUUCAAACUUUUGCUAAUGAAAUAUUGACUAGGCAUGGCAUGGCAAAAGAAAAAAGUCUUGACUUGACAUAAUUUUUCUCUGGAGGUUAAAACACUAUUGAAAACUAGGCAUAGCGAAAAAAAGUCUCAACGUAAUUCUUAGUAUAAACUCAUCUUGUAAGUACAUUUCAAAUAUAGUUUGAACUAACUGAAUUUCACGGAACUAGAUUUUGCGAAUAAGUGAGCUCAUUUUUAUUUUCCUUGGGAAUUGAAUUCUGUGGAUGACCUAAAUUAUUCGUUUUGCAGAAAUAAAGUUUAUCGAAAAGUUAUUAAACUUACUAAUUCCAAAAUUUAGUUUGCCGAAAUUUCGUUUUAUUUGAGAACAAUACCAACUUUACCACCAGGGCUAUUUGCUUGUCAGAAGUGAUGACGAAUGAUAUAAAAUCCGGCCUGUCCUGAUUAUGUUCGUUGUAUAAAUGCCAUAUAAUAUUUUUAUAACUGUCGUACAUAUAAGUGCCAAAUAAUAUAAAAAGUUUUGUACGUAAUAAGUCGGCCUGCCCCAAUUAUGUGCGUUUUUCAGUAACAAAUGAUAUUAGACUGUCGAUCAUAAACCGACCUGCCCUGAUUAUGUUUCUUUUAUAAGGUGCCAAAUAAUAUUAUUUUAACUGUCAUACAUAUAAGCCAGCCUGUCCUGAUUAUGUUGGCCUGAUUAUGUAUUUUCUGCCCCGUUUUUAUUCAUAUAGAAUUGUUCUGCCCAAUCUUGGACACUGCCCAAUCUUUGAAAAAUACCCAGUCUUAGACAGGCUGGCUAGUCUUGUCAGGGUGGGUGGUGUAUUACACAGGUCGCAGGUCAAAAUUUUAAAAUGUUCGAAAUUAUGACUUGAUGCAAAUGCAAAUAAUUUUAACCAUUUCCAGUUUUGUGACGCAGCGCCAUUCCAAAAUACGCAAUACAGAGAAUUUUUAACACCCUUUCCCUUUAUGUAUCUUGAAUAAAAUGUAUGAAUAUAAGCUGCAUCUAAACACCUAACGCUGAUUAACUGCCCCAACAUCUCAGUCUCUUAGUAAACUUAGUUCUUUUUAGAGAAUAAAUGUUUUCAAAGUCCUUUCUGUAAUUGAUGAUGUUAUAACCAAUGAUUAUUGAAAAGUCAUCAACCAAAUGUCAAAAUGAAAAAUAAUAUAAUAGAGUGUCAUAAUACAUGAUCACAGGUCACACAAUAGUUGAAUUUAAUUGUCUUGGUUACUCAGUAAAAACACACUUAUUAAUCGAGAAUAUUGUAUUAUGGCACAUUUUGGUAUACAACAUCAUACACAUGGAACGCAAUUUGUAAAUUUGGGGAAUGGAUUGGGAUGCCGGGUAAGAAAAUAAAUAAGUAAGGCAGGACAGAUAACGCAUGCUGCUAGUAAUCAUAACAAGGUAAUCACACCAAAAUGCUUGCCCAAGGCAAAGAGGGUAAUUUCCUAAGAGUAUGCACGUUUUGGUUGCCCCUCACAAGUUUAUGUCCUCAUGGAUCAUAAUAUUGUGAACGGUUUCCAAGGCAUGACCCAGAUCUC